CCGGCCUUGAGGGGGGGGUGAUGUCAGGAUGCAGUUCUCCUGCUGCACCAUGGACAGUUCCGGAGCCUUCCACUACCUUCUCUCCCCUGCUUCACUCCAUGCUGGAUCAGUUUCACCUGCUGCAAUAAUCAAGUCUGGACUCAUUCCACCUGUUCAACCUCCUACAUAAACUCCUCUCAUUUCUGCUUUCACUGCUGGUUCGUCAACGUCCUUCCCACGUCUGCUCAUGCCUCACGUCUCCCAGCGUCCUUCGUCCCACAUCGUGUGCUCCCAUCUCCAGCCAGCCUCGUCUCUGCCUUCCUGCCUGCGUUCCCUCAAGUUCCCCGGCUUCGGCUCCACUACGUUCUCCUGCUCCAGCCACGGUCAACAUCACUCUGCUGCCAUCUGGUACAGUCUACUGGUUACCUUUCCACCACUCAUCUCCUU